UACAGAGGGUGCAAGCGUUAAUCGGAAUUACUGGGCGUAAAGCGCACGUAGGCGGGUCAGAAAGUCAGAGGUGAAAUCCCAGGGCUCAACCUUGGAACUGCCUUUGAAACUCCUGGUCUUGAGGUCGAGAGAGGUGAGUGGAAUUCCGAGUGUAGAGGUGAAAUUCGUAGAUAUUCGGAGGAACACCAGUGGCGAAGGCGGCUCACUGGCUCGAUACUGACGCUGAGGUGCGAAAGCGUGGGGAGCAAACAGG
rnacentral:rRNA from 1 species